AGAGUUUGAUCCUGGCUCAGGAUGAACGCUGGCGGCGUGCUUAACACAUGCAAGUCGAACGAUGACUUCUGUGCUUGCACAGAAUGAUUAGUGGCGAACGGGUGAGUAACACGUGAGUAACCUGCCCUUGACUUCGGGAUAAGCCUGGGAAACCGGGUCUAAUACCGGAUACGACCUCCUGGCGCAUGCCAUGGGGGUGGAAAGCUGUAUGCGGUUUUGGAUGGACUCGCGGCCUAUCAGCUUGUUGGUUGGGGUAAUGGCCCACCAAGGCGACGACGGGUAGCCGGCCUGAGAGGGUGACCGGCCACACUGGGACUGAGACACGGCCCAGACUCCUACGGGAGGCAGCAGUGGGGAAUAUUGCACAAUGGGCGGAAGCCUGAUGCAGCGUCGCCGCGUGAGGGAUGACGGCCUUCGGGUUGUAAACCUCUUUCAGCAGGGAAGAAGCGAAAGUGACGGUACCUGCAGAAGAAGCGCCGGCUAACUACGUGCCAGCAGCCGCGGUAAUACGUAGGGCGCAAGCGUUAUCCGGAAUUAUUGGGCGUAAAGAGCUCGUAGGCGGUUUGUCGCGUCUGCUGUGAAAGCCCGGGGCUCAACCCCGGGUCUGCAGUGGGUACGGGCAGACUAGAGUGCAGUAGGGGAGACUGGAAUUCCUGGUGUAGCGGUGGAAUGCGCAGAUAUCAGGAGGAACACCGGUGGCGAAGGCGGGUCUCUGGGCCUUACCUGACGCUGAGGAGCGAAAGCAUGGGGAGCGAACAGGAUUAGAUACCCUGGUAGUCCAUGCCGUAAACGUUGGGCGCUAGGUGUGGGGACUUUCCACGGUUUCCGCGCCGUAGCUAACGCAUUAAGCGCCCCGCCUGGGGAGUACGGCCGCAAGGCUAAAACUCAAAGGAAUUGACGGGGGCCCGCACAAGCGGCGGAGCAUGUUGCUUAAUUCGACGCAACGCGAAGAACCUUACCAAGGUUUGACAUCACCCGUGGACUCGCAGAGAUGUGAGGUCAUUUAGUUGGCGGGUGACAGGUGGUGCAUGGCUGUCGUCAGCUCGUGUUGUGAGAUGUUGGGUUAAGUCCCGCAACGAGCGCAACCCUUGUUCCAUGUUGCCAGCACGUAGUGGUGGGGACUCAUGGGAGACUGCCGGGGUCAACUCGGAGGAAGGUGGGGAUGACGUCAAGUCAUCAUGCCCCUUAUGUCUUGGGCUGCAAACAUGCUACAAUGGUCGGUACAAUGGGCGUGCGAUACCGUAAGGUGGAGC
rnacentral:rRNA from 1 species